UUGUCUUUCUGUGUCUGACAAUUGCAGUUAACACAGUGUCUUCCGGCUCUCUCAACACUGCAGCCAAUAAUAUGAUUUCCUUCUUUAUGGCUGAAUACUAUUCCUUUGUGCCCAUGUAUCGAUUCUCUCUAGUUAGCCAUUCGUAGCUGUCUGGGCAGGUUCCACAUCCUACUGUAGUAAACCGUGCUGCAGCAAUGCACAGAAUGGAGGUCCCUGGCACGCUGGGUUUAGUUCCUUUAACAAUCGUGGGUUUUCAGCGCUGUGAUUGAUUUGCUGAGACCCGUGAGAAAGGCUGAUUCAUGACUUUCUGGAGCGUGUGUUUCCCGGGAGCUCACCUGGAAUGCUGAGACAGCAAGAGGCUUUCACAGCCACCUUGAACACUGACUCGGCAGUCGCUGAGGUGGGCAGCAAGGUUGCUUACACACCCAGCUGAGACGGACCGCUGCAAUUUGAAAGGUGCAAGCCUGUCUGACAGACUGGAACCCUCCACGCAGGGGAGGAUGGGCAGGGUUCUCCAGUGCUGUCCAGUAGGGGGCCUGCUUCUCAGGGGCAGCUGUUUUAUGAAGGAUACUUAAUGUCUGCUUUCCCUCCCCACGGCAGGCAUCAGGGGUUAAGAAUGGUAGGUGUGUGGCUCAUAAAGACGGUCCCGUAUGUGAUGGGGUGACCACAAGCCAGGACCAAAGGAGCGACUCUUAAUCUAGGCUUGUUAAAAAACAGCUGUACGUCUACAUUUAUUAUGUUGAUUAAAGGGAGACGAAGAGCUGUGCUCAGUGUUUCUUGAGUAAUACAGACAUUUAAAGAAGCAGGUAUAUUAAUAGAAAUAUGACUAGAUCUUUCAUUGUACGGUGUCCUGGAUGACAGAGCUCUUGAAGCCUUGCGUGGGGGAUGGCAGGGGAUGUGGGGAGCUGGGUUUGGUCUGAUGCGUUGACACUGGAGGACAGGAGUAGUUUGCAUUUUCAUCUAAGAGUGGUGGGAAGAAGCUGGGGACAUUUUGUGUUGUUCUUCAGGAGCAUAUUUACAAGAUGUGACGUGGGUUCUUUAUGAGCUCUCUUUGGCUGCAUUGGGGCUGACCGAGAGGAGUCUAGAGAAAAAAAUAGAUUCUGAUUCUGGUCAUGAAGCUGCUGCUAAGACUUGACUCUCAAGUGACCAAGCAAUAAACAGAAAGAGCUCACAGAGACAUGAAAGGAUCAGGCCAGCCACGCAGGAAAGAGCCCCUUCAGCCACAUUUCUUGCUGGCUUGCUAACACAGCACGAAUCAAAGGAAAUAGAUCAUACCAAAAGCUUCUUUGUAGUUUUGUUUAAAGGGAAGCCAUGCUUGGGAACAGGCUCUGUGAAUGUGGAGAGCAUUCUGAUGAGCAGGCUCGCCCCUUUUCUGAGGGCAGGCAUGGUUCAGGGUGAGUGGUCCAAACUUGCUGUUCCCUCCUCCCCCACAAGCCUUCCCAGUUUUCUGGGGAACUCCCUCCCCUGAGAGGAGGUGGCAAGGGCCCUUGAAGCUGACCCUUCAUCCCAUGGAGACAGACUUCCUCUUCCUGUGGGCUGUUUUUGCUUCUUCCUCCGGCUCCACACCUGCUUUCCUCCGAUCCAGGGCCUCAACCGGGUAUGCUGAGUCCUCGUGCUGCUUACAAUUAGAGGGACUUUCAGCAGCUGCUUGCAUGUGAUCCUUUCUCCCUUUGAAGUCAUUUAAUGAUUAAGCCUUCCCUGGUUUUGACCUGUCCCCUGACUGAAGGAACCAUUGUGAUUCCGUACCCUGAAGGUACAGAGGCUUCCGGACUCAACGUUUGUGUUUGAUCCCAGCUCUGUCCUCCAGAGCUGGGGUGGACUAGCUCACCUGACCUGAGUCUCUGACUGACCCGGACAUUUUACGAAGAGCAACGUCCACUCUGGUGCCAAUCCAGAUGUAUCACUUAGCUGUAGUGAAGUCCUGGAUAUCUGGUUGGUCUUUCUCUGUUGAACUCUUCUCUUUUAUGGAUAUGACACCAACAGACAACAAACUUCCAGAUCCUAUCAGUCCUGAGACCUGAUACUCAUGGGAAAAAAUGGUUCUCAAGUCAUAUUCCAGUGCUACUAUGAAAUAAACUUUACAAUUUUAACA
rnacentral:sRNA from 1 species